rnacentral:rRNA from 1 species
GACGAACGCUGGCGGCGUGCCUAAUACAUGCAAGUCGAACGGGGAACACAGACGGAAGUUUUCGGAUGGAAGGAAGUGUUCUUAGUGGCGGACGGGUGAGUAACGCGUGAGCAAUCUGCCCAUAAGAGGGGGAUAACAGUUAGAAAUGACUGCUAAUACCGCAUAAGACCACACUACCGCAUGGUAGAGGGGUCAAAGAUUUAUCGCUUAUGGAGGAGCUCGCGUCCCAUUAGGUAGUUGGUAGGGUAACAGCCUACCAAGCCUGCGAUGGGUAGCCGGCCUGAGAGGGUGAACGGCCACACUGGAACUGAGAGACGGUCCAGACUCCUACGGGAGGCAGCAGUAGGGAAUAUUGGGCAAUGGGGAAACCCUGACCCAGCAACGCCGCGUGAGGGAAGAAGGCCUAACGGUUGUAAACCUCUGUCAUAUGGGAAGAAGGAAUGACAGUACCAUAUGAGGAAGCUCCGGCUAACUACGUG